rnacentral:lncRNA from 1 species
GGAUUUAUCGUUAUUUUUCCCUUCCUCUUUUUGGAUAAAAUAAAAGACGGUGGCGACUCUUGCAUUUAAAAUAUUUUUCAAACGGGUUAAGUUCAAUCAAUACUUAAUCUCGUGAAAAAUCCCACCGCGACAAUUGCAGAGAACAAACUCUACAAUUCAACAAACUCCUCAAUCUUCCUCCUCUUGACCACCACCAACGGAUCCAAGGAUGUCCUCC